rnacentral:sRNA from 2 species
UACUUGCUGAUGAAGCUUGUUUGUCUUUGGUCUCUUUUCUCUUGAUGACGUGAUGCAUGACCUGCUUUAUUUAUACCUAUCACUGCAAAUCGCAAACAAUAGAAGACAACAGGGAGAAUAGAGAGAGAGUUGAAAAUGCUGAAAACAUCCCUUGCUGACAAAAGGCUAACAACUUCCUCGGAAUGGCCGGAUAAUACACACACACACACACACAUAUUUAUAUAUAUACAGUAGAAUGCAGAGUAGUACUGCCUUGUGCAUGCCCAGUGCACAAUCUCAUAAACAGCUUAGGUAAAUAUAAUACAAACAUUCCUUGGGGAAUUCUCAGACUAUGCAGAACCUUGCAGAGAUCUGCUAUGCUUGAAACGGACAGCGCGUAUAACCUCCCCUACUGUCGGAGACGGUUGAAUGACGACAACAGCGAUCAGCUCGUUUCUUCCUGCGUCGAGAGACACAGACGCACAGAAGUUGUUACUGGCAGUGUGUCUGCCAUUAAACACUGAAAGGGUAUGGUCGAGGAACCGUAGCAAAACACCCCAACCAGCGAUAUCCCCAUGUUGGCCAAGAUAAGGGAGCCUUAGGUUGUAGAACAACCUCGUCCUACGGAACGUGAAGGACAAAGAUGGAUGGGGCGUGUCAAUCCAUGGGGAAGGUAAAGUUGGGUAGGUAAGGGUG